rfam:Loxodonta africana unplaced genomic scaffold scaffold_31, whole genome shotgun sequence.
AAGACUAUACUUUCAGGGAUCAUUUCUAUAGUUCGUUACUAGAGAAGUUUCUCUGAUCGUGUAGAGCACCGAAAACCACGAGGAGGAGGUGCAGCGUUCUCUCUUGAGCGUGAAGCUGGCUCUUGGUGUUGUUUGACUGCAACUGCCGUUUGCCAUUGAUGAUCGUUCUUCUCUUCCCUUGGGGGAGGAGUAAGAGGGAGAGGACACAGUCUGAGUGGC